GGCUUUUGCUCUUUCCCAGUAAGGAGGAGGCAGACUUUGGCAGCAGAGUCAGCUCCAUGGGUAUGGGAGCCAGAACCAGCCUCAGCCAACUGCUGGAGAUGGAGCCCUAGAUCUAAACUCUCUCAAGUUCCGAGCACUGUGUCAUCAUCCCUUAUUGAUGCAAGAUCUUUGUAAUGGC
ensembl:lincRNA